rnacentral:rRNA from 1 species
UGGGGGAUAUUGCACAAUGGGCGAAAGCCUGAUGCAGCGACGCCGCGUGGGGGAUGAAGGCUUUCGGGUUGUAAACCUCUUUCGCUAUCGAACAAGGCCCGCUUAGGGUGGGUUGAGGGUAGGUGGAGAAGAAGCGCCGGCUAACUACGUGCCAGCAGCCGCGGUAAUACGUAGGGCGCGAGCGUUGUCCGGAAUUAUUGGGCGUAAAGGGCUUGUAGGCGGCUUGUUGCGCCUGCUGUGAAAACGCGGGGCUUAACUUCGCGCGUGCAGUGGGUACGGGCAGGCUUGAGUGUGGUAGGGGUGACUGGAAUUCCAGGUGUAGCGGUGGAAUGCGCUGAUAUCUGGAGGAACACCGAUGGCGAAGGCAGGUCACUGGGCCAUUACUGACGCUGAGGAGCGAAAGCAUGGGUAGCGAACAGG